GGUGGCUGACCCGCUCGCAGCGGUCGACGCGCCAGUGGCGGCAGGGAGGUCGGUGAAGAGAGCGGCGGACUGGAGGGGGACACAGUUCGAGGACGCGGGGAUCUUCGGCUGGUAGGGCAUCGUCGAGAUGGGGCCGAGCGACUCAGGCGGCUGAGUGAAGGUCACGACCUGGCCGUUCGAGGUGUAGAUACCGGGGGGGUCCUGGUUGUCACCCUCGCAGUACUCGAAC
rnacentral:misc_RNA from 1 species